rnacentral:rRNA from 1 species
AUUGAACGCUGGCGGCAGGCCUAACACAUGCAAGUCGAGCGAGCGGCGGACGGGUGAGUAAUGUCUGGGGAUCUGCCCGAUGGAGGGGGAUAACUACUGGAAACGGUGGCUAAUACCGCAUACCAUCAGAUGUACCCAGAUGGGAUUAGCUAGUAGGUGGGGUAAAGGCUCACCUAGGCGACGAUCGCUAGCUGGUCUGAGAGGAUGACCAGCCAAACUGGGACUGAGACACGGUCCAGACUCCUACGGGAGGCAGCAGUGGGGAAUAUUGCACAAUGGGCGCAAGCCUGAUGCAGCCAUGCCGCGUGUAUGAAGAAGGCCUUCGGGUUGUAAAGUACUUUCAGCGGGGAGGCGUUACUCGCAGAAGAAGCACCGGCUAACUCCGUGCCAGCAGCCGCGGUAAUUC